rnacentral:rRNA from 1 species
UACGUAGGGUGCAAGCGUUGUCCGGAAUUAUUGGGCGUAAAGAGCUCGUAGGCGGUUUGUCACGUCGGAUGUGAAAUCUCGGGGCUUAACCUCGGGCCUGCAUUCGAUACGGGCUGACUAGAGUUCGGUAGGGGAGACUGGAAUUCCUGGUGUAGCGGUGAAAUGCGCAGAUAUCAGGAGGAACACCGGUGGCGAAGGCGGGUCUCUGGGCCGAUACUGACGCUGAGGAGCGAAAGCGUGGGGAGCGAACAGG